UACAGAGGGUGCAAGCGUUAAUCGGAAUUACUGGGCGUAAAGCGUGCGUAGACGGUUAUUUAAGUCAGGUGUGAAAGCCCCGGGCUCAACCUGGGAAUUGCAUUUUGAGACUGAAUAGCUAGGGUGCGGAAGGAGGGAAGCGGAAGUUUCCGGUGUAAGCGGUGAAAUGACGGUAGAUAUCGGAAAGGAACACCCAUGUG
rnacentral:rRNA from 1 species